GGGACACGUGGUAUCCUGUCUGAAUAUGGGGGGACCAUCCUCCAAGGCUAAAUACUCCUGACUGACCGAUAGUGAACCAGUACCGUGAGGGAAAGGCGAAAAGAACCCCGGCGAGGGGAGUGAAAAAGAACCUGAAACCGUGUACGUACAAGCAGUGGGAGCACCCUUUUGGGUGUGACUGCGUACCUUUUGUAUAAUGGGUCAGCGACUUAUAUUCUGUAGCAAGGUUAACCGAAUAGGGGAGCCGGAGGGAAACCGAGUCUUAAUUGGGCGUUAAGUUGCAGGGUAUAGACCCGAAACCCGGUGAUCUAGCCAUGGGCAGGUUGAAGGUUGGGUAACACUAACUGGAGGACCGAACCGACUAAUGUUGAAAAAUUAGCGGAUGACCUGUGGCUGGGGGUGAAAGGCCAAUCAAACCGGGAGAUAGCUGGUUCUCCCCGAAAGCUAUUUAGGUAGCGCCUCGUGAAUUCAUCUCCGGGGGUAGAGCACUGUUUCGGCUAGGGGGCCAUCCCGGCUUACCAACCCGAUGCAAACUGCGAAUACCGGAGAAUGUUAUCACGGGAGACACACGGCGGGUGCUAACGUCCGUCGUGAAGAGGGAAACAACCCAGACCGCCAGCUAAGGUCCCAAAGUCAUGGUUAAGUGGGAAACGAUGUGGGAAGGCCCAGACAGCCAGGAUGUUGGCUUAGAAGCAGCCAUCAUUUAAAGAAAGCGUAAUAGCUCACUGGUCGAGUCGGCCUGCGCGGAAGAUGUAACGGGGCUAAACCAUGCACCGAAGCUGCGGCAGCGACACUGUGUGUUGUUGGGUAGGGGAGCGUUCUGUAAGCCUGUGAAGGUGGCCUGUGAGGGUUGCUGGAGGUAUCAGAAGUGCGAAUGCUGACAUAAGUAACGAUAAAGCGGGUGAAAAGCCCGCUCGCCGGAAGACCAAGGGUUCCUGUCCAACGUUAAUCGGGGCAGGGUGAGUCGACCCCUAAGGCGAGGCCGAAAGGCGUAGUCGAUGGGAAACGGGUUAAUAUUCCCGUACUUGGUGUUACUGCGAAGGGGGGACGGAGAAGGCUAUGUUGGCCGGGCGACGGUUGUCCCGGUUUAAGCGUGUAGGUGUGUGUUCCAGGUAAAUCCGGUUCACUUUAACACUGAGGCGUGACGACGAGGCACUACGGUGCUGAAGCAACAAAUGCCCUGCUUCCAGGAAAAGCCUCUAAGCAUCAGGUAACAUCAAAUCGUACCCCAAACCGACACAGGUGGUCAGGUAGAGAAUACCAAGGCGCUUGAGAGAACUCGGGUGAAGGAACUAGGCAAAAUGGUGCCGUAACUUCGGGAGAAGGCACGCUGACACGUAGGUGAAGUGAUUUACUCAUGGAGCUGAAGUCAGUCGAAGAUACCAGCUGGCUGCAACUGUUUAUUAAAAACACAGCACUGUGCAAACACGAAAGUGGACGUAUACGGUGUGACGCCUGCCCGGUGCCGGAAGGUUAAUUGAUGGGGUCAGCGCAAGCGAAGCUCCUGAUCGAAGCCCCGGUAAACGGCGGCCGUAACUAUAACGGUCCUAAGGUAGCGAAAUUCCUUGUCGGGUAAGUUCCGACCUGCACGAAUGGCGUAAUGAUGGCCAGGCUGUCUCCACCCGAGACUCAGUGAAAUUGAACUCGCUGUGAAGAUGCAGUGUACCCGCGGCAAGACGGAAAGACCCCGUGAACCUUUACUAUAGCUUGACACUGAACAUUGAGCCUUGAUGUGUAG
rnacentral:rRNA from 1 species